GGAGAAAACAAACCGCAAGCAAACGGCCGUGACCGCUAGCUGAUGUCACCCCUUCUCUUUUAGCUGUUCGUUAAUGAAUCAGACUCCUCAAUUUGACUUUGUGACCUUUGGCAGAUACCCUGGCUUAGGGUUGGAAACCAGUGGCCUAAACUCUGCAGCGGUAUAUAAAGCCAUCCCCUUGAAGUCUCUGUUCUUUUAAAAAUGUUGUUGUUCUCUGUGAGGCCCUGGCGGCGCACCUUGUCACUCUGGAUUUGAAAUAUGAGAUUGUUUAUACCCUCAUUACACUGCUGCUACAGUGUAAUAAGCUAGAAUUAAGCUACAGUCAAAUGGGAUCGCUGAAACUGUGUGUGGAGAGGAAUAAUAAAGUGCAGACUGGGCACGCCAUGAGCAAAUAAAUCCUUCAAAACUCUAUUCUGUGGGCUCUAUAACAGAAGUUAUGUUAAUAUUUAACACAGAGACUCUGAGAACAUGAGUCAGUGUCAUUCUCUCACAAGAAUUUUCCAGCUUGACGAUUAACUCACGAUGAAAACCAGGCCUAUCGCAAGAUAUGAAAUAUGAUCAGUGUGUGUGUGUGUGUAAUAGAAGGGGAGGAGGGGUGUGGCUGAGUAGGUGUUGAACUAUUGACAGCUGCAGUGCAGAUAUCCCCACUUGUCCCAAGUUAGAGGAAUCUCACAAUUCAGCACCACACCCCUUCUGAAUCUGUGAGACCCAUCUGCCACCCCGAAUUAAACCCCACCUCCACUCCUCUUACAGCAAACCCUCUCACCCCUUAAUGCCUCUUCUCCUUUUGUCUUUCAUUGGCUCUCUUCUCCCAAGUUCUUUGUGUUGUGAUCCAUAUUUUCCAGUAGCCUCUGCCAUUUCAUUCAUGCCUCCUUCAGCUUAAUUCUUCCCUUGUCUCACACUUCACUCCUCUCCUCCUCUCCUUUGAAUUCUUCAACAUGAUGCAGUCCAACGCCACUUUUGUAGCCUGUCAUGCCCUGCUGUUUGUCCUGUGUAAGAGGUGUACUGCAGCAUCACUGCCUCUGCACCUCACCUCACUGUCUCAUGUCUCAAAAUGACUUUAAAGCCUGUAGCCCUUCACUAGCAUUUCAGAGAUAUUCAGGCUUUUUAAACCCGAUGGGACUCUUUAAACCACAAAGUGGCAUUCUCAAUGAGUAUCAGGCCAAUCAAUAUUUACAAAUUCAGAGAUCUCAUUCCUCUAUCUCUCUUCUCUCAGCAUUAUACUCAAGUGUAAUACUGCAGUGA